rnacentral:rRNA from 1 species
GCGGCCCCAAGUCAGGCGAGGCCACCCGCC